rnacentral:rRNA from 1 species
UUAGCAUAUCAAUAAGCGGAGGAAAGAAACCACAGGGAUUGCCCUAGUAACGGCGAGUGAAGCGGCAACAGCUCAAAUUUGAAAUCUGGCUCUUUUAGAGUCCGAGUUGUAAUUUGCAGAGGGCGCUUUGGCUUUGGCAGCGGUCCAAGUUCCUUGGAACAGGACGUCACAGAGGGUGAGAAUCCCGUACGUGGUCGCUGGCUAUUGCCGUGUAAAGCCCCUUCGACGAGUCGAGUUGUUUGGGAAUGCAGCUCUAAAUGGGAGGUACAUUUCUUCUAAAGCUAAAUAUUGGCCAGAGACCGAUAGCGCACAAGUAGAGUGAUCGAAAGAUGAAAAGCACUUUGGAAAGAGAGUCAAACAGCACGUGAAAUUGUUAAAAGGGAAGCGCUUGCAGCCAGACUUGCUUACAGUUGCUCAUCCGGGCUUUUGCCCGGUGCACUCUUCUGUAGGCAGGCCAGCAUCAGUUUGGGCGGUAGGAUAAAGGUCUCUGUCACGUACCUCCUUUCGGGGAGGCCUUAUAGGGGAGACGACAUACUACCAGCCUGGACUGAGGUCCGCGCAUCUGCUAGGAUGCUGGCGUAAUGGCUGUAAGCGGCCCGUCUUGAAACACGGACCAAGGAGUCUAACAUCUAUGCGAGUGUUUGGGUGUCAAGCCCGAGCGCGUAAUGAAAGUGAACGGAGGUGGGAACCCGCAAGGGUGCACCAUCGACCGAUCCUGAUGUCUUCGGAAGGAUUUGAGUAAGAGCAUGGCUGUUGGGACCCGAAAGAUGGUGAACUAUGCUUGAAUAGGGUGAAGCCAGAGGAAACUCUGGUGGAGGCUCGCAGCGGUUCUGACGUGCAAAUCGAUCGUCAAAUUUGGGCAUAGGGGCGAAAGACUAAUCGAACUAUCUAGUAGCUGGUUCCUGCCAAG